UAGGGAAUCUUCGGCAAUGGGGGCAACCCUGACCGAGCAACGCCGCGUGAGUGAAGAAGGUUUUCGGAUCGUAAAGCUCUGUUGUAAGUCAAGAACGAGUGUGAGAGUGGAAAGUUCACACUGUGACGGUAGCUUACCAGAAAGGGACGGCUAACUACGUGCCAGCAGCCGCGGUAAUACGUAGGUCCCGAGCGUUGUCCGGAUUUAUUGGGCGUAAAGCGAGCGCAGGCGGUUUGAUAAGUCUGAAGUUAAAGGCUGUGGCUCAACCAUAGUUCGCUUUGGAAACUGUCAAACUUGAGUGCAGAAGGGGAGAGUGGAAUUCCAUGUGUAGCGGUGAAAUGCGUAGAUAUAUGGAGGAACACCGGUGGCGAAAGCGGCUCUCUGGUCUGUAACUGACGCUGAGGCUCGAAAGCGUGGGGAGCGAAUAGGAUUAGAUACCCUGGUAGUCCACGCCGUAACGAUGAGUGCUAGGUGUUGGAUCCUUUCCGGGAUUCAGUGCCGCAGCUAACGCAUUAAGCACUCCGCCUGGGGAGUACGACCGCAAGGUUG
rnacentral:rRNA from 1 species